UACGUAGGGUGCAAGCGUUGUCCGGAAUUAUUGGGCGUAAAGAGCUCGUAGGCGGUUUGUCGCGUCUGCUGUGAAAAUCCGGGGCUCAACCCCGGACUUGCAGUGGGUACGGGCAGACUAGAGUGUGGUAGGGGAGACUGGAAAUUCCUGGUGUAGCGGUGAAAUGCGCAGAUAUCAGGAGGAACACCAAUGGCGAAGGCAGCUCGCUGGGACGGUACUGACGCUGAGGCGCGAAAGCGUGGGGAGCAAACAGG
rnacentral:rRNA from 1 species